rnacentral:sRNA from 2 species
GGACAGCCAUCGCCGAGUCCCCGUACGGCGCGAGCCAGGGGAGCCGGGGACCCAGUCCCCUGGGGUGAAUCGGACGCCCACGCGUGCGCGUGGCGGCCGUAGGAGACCUUCCUGCUCCGAACCCGUCAGCUAACCCGGUAGGCGAGAGGGAAGGAAAGG